CGCCAAUGGGGGCAUAUACGUUGGCAAUUGACUGUCCUGAGGGUUUAUGUCGCCAGCGAGACCAGCGAUAUGUCGCCAGAGAGACCAGCGACAAACCGCCAGCGAGACCAGUGGUUCCAAAGGACUUGGCUGCUACAUGAUUCGCAGCCCACCGCAAGCAGAUACGCGGUAUUAUGACCCUGCCACAGGGAUAAUGUGGUCAUAGUCAUGGUUGGUAAGAAGAACUUAAGAAA
rnacentral:lncRNA from 1 species